AGUUUUUAAAUUUAUCUUAUUUUUUACAAGUUUAGUUUUUGUUGAGUUUUUGUUGGCUGUGUUUGUUUGCUGUUUUUGUUUGCUGUUUUUGUUAUUAUUAUUUGGUCUUACAAGCAAGGUCUGUUAGCGAAAAGAAGUUAGAACUGAAAUGACUGAGCAAUUCAAAGGAGCUGAAGGCCUUUUUAAAAAAAUAACAAGGAAAAGCCAAAGUAAUAAACAAUCUUCUGGAAGUUGUCAAAAGAAUAAUGAAAUUUUUAAUUUUGUUCUUAAAUGGUUUCAUCUUUUUCAUUACUUUAGAUAGAUAUAUACUGACU